ACAGCAGUAGCCACGGUAAUACGUAGGGUGCGAGCGUUAAUCGGAAUUACUGGGCGUAAAGCGUGCGCAGGCGGUUAUAUAAGACAGAUGUGAAAUCCCCGGGCUCAACCUGGGACCUGCAUUUGUGACUGUAUAGCUAGAGUACGGUAGAGGGGGAUGGAAUUCCGCGUGUAGCAGUGAAAUGCGUAGAUAUGCGGAGGAACACCGAUGGCGAAGGCAAUCCCCUGGACCUGUACUGACGCUCAUGCACGAAAGCGUGGGGAGCAAACAGGAUUAGAGACCCCAGUAGUCCCUGUCUCUUAUAC
rnacentral:rRNA from 1 species